rnacentral:rRNA from 1 species
CACUGGUCGAGUCGGCCUGCGCGGAAGAUGUAACGGGGCUAAACCAUGCACCGAAGCUGCGGCAGCGACGCUGAUGCGUUGUUGGGUAGGGGAGCGUUCUGUAAGCCUGUGAAGGUGUGCUGUGAGGUAUGCUGGAGGUAUCAGAAGUGCGAAUGCUGACAUAAGUAACGAUAAAGCGGGUGAAAAGCCCGCUCGCCGGAAGACCAAGGGUUCCUGUCCAACGUUAAUCGGGGCAGGGUGAGUCGA